GAUGAACGCUGGCGGCGUGCCUAACACAUGCAAGUCGAACGGAGAUUACGGACGGAAGUUUUCGGAUGGAAGACUGUAAUUCUUAGUGGCGGACGGGUGAGUAACGCGUGGGCAACCUGCCCUAUACAGGGGGAUAGCAGCUGGAAACGGCUGGUAAGACCGCAUAAGUCGGUUAAAUCGCAUGAUUUGAUCGGGAAAUGAGCAAUCAGGUAUAGGAUGGGCCCGCGUCCGAUUAGCCAGUUGGCAGGGUAAAAGCCUACCAAAGCGACGAUCGGUAGCCGGACUGAGAGGGCGGACGGCCACAUUGGGACUGAGACACGGCCCAAACUCCUACGGGAGGCAGCAGUGGGGGAUAUUGCACAAUGGAGGAAACUCUGAUGCAGCGACGCCGCGUGAGUGAAGAAGUAUUUCGGUAUGUAAAGCUCUAUCAGCAGGGAAGAUGAUGACGGUACCUGACGAAGAAGCCCCGGCUAACUACGUG
rnacentral:rRNA from 1 species